CAGAGGUGGCAAGCGUUGUUCGGAAUUACUGGGCGUAAAGGGCGCGUAGGCGGCCUUCUAAGUCGGACGUGAAAGCCCCAGGCUUAACCUGGGAACUGCGUCUGAUACUGGGAGGCUUGGAUUCGGGAGAGGGAUGUGGAAUUCCAGGUGUAGCGGUGAAAUGCGUAGAUAUCUGGAGGAACACCGGUGGCGAAGGCGGCAUCCUGGACCGAGAUCGACGCUGAGGCGCGAAAAGCUAGGGGAGCAAACGGGAUU
rnacentral:rRNA from 1 species